rnacentral:lncRNA from 10 species
UAGGGGAAGCCAGCUGCCAUGUUGUGGGGAUGCUCAAGGAGCCCUGAGGAGAGGCCCAUGUGAUGAGGAGCUGAGAGGACUUGGGCCAAAAGCCAGUGGAGAAUUGAGGUCUCCUGUCAGUAGCCAUAUAAGCAAGUAUUCUGGAAGCACAUCCUCCAUUCCCAGUCAAUAUCUUAACUUCAACCUCAUGAAAGACCUUGAGCCUAGCUCAGCCACUCCCAGACUCCUGACCCACAGAUACUGUGUGAGACACCUUGAAUCACAGAUAGUUGGAGAUGAAAAGGACCUUAGAAACCAUGAGAAACACCAUGGGCGAGGAGACUGGGGAGCUCUGGAGCCAUAAACCUGGCUUCAGGUCCCAGUUCUGCCACUCACCAACUGAGUGGCCAAGGACGGCAUUUUUCAGAGAACAGGAGGGAGCUGCUUCCUUAAGUAUCGCCUGGGAUCACAUUCAGACUGGAGAUGUUGCCAGAAGCAAAUCCACCUCGGUGGGGAUUCUGGUUGACCCAGGAGACCCUCUGCUCCUGAGGGAACUGCUGAGGGGCUUGGGCUAUGACUCCAGGACCAAGAGUUUUGGGAGAGACUUUCCUUCCCUGGACAAGGAAAAGGAAGUGGAGCUACCAGCUGCUGCUCUGGGAGGCUAGAGGCUCAUCUCUCUACCAUGCACCCUUUCCGAAGCUCUGUUCUCUGAGGGCUUCUGGAAAUACCCGCUUUAAUCAGAGUUAAGCCGGAUUUGAAGGUUGCGAUGAUUAGAUGUGUCAAAAAAAUUUUACAUCUAAUAACACCCAACGCUGUCAAGAAUGUGGAAAAAAACAGACAUGUAUGCAUUGUUGAUGCGAGUGUCAAUUGGUACCCAUUUUUUGGAGGGAGUUUGCUAGUAUCAUUAGAAUGUGAAAUAGAUAUGCUUUCAGACUCAACAUUUCCACUUCUAAGAGUCAAUUCUAGAGAAAUAUGUGCACAUGGACACAAAGAGUCGGGCAUGAAGAUGUUUGCAGAAAUGUUGUUUGCAACUGCAAAAAACAGUAAAAUAAAAAGCC